CCCGUCUUGAAGCACGGACCAAGGAGUCUGACACGCGCGCGAGUCACUGGGUUACUCUAAACCCAGGGGCGUAUUGAACGAGAAGGCGGUCCUCGCGACCGCCGAGGGAAGAUGGAGUCGUCUCCGGACGACUCCCGCACUCCCGGGGCGUCUCGUCCCAAGGCCGCUCGUCGGUCGAGGGUGAGGCGCACCAAGAGCGCGCGCGUCGGGACCCGAAAGAUGGUGAACUAUGCCUGGCCAGGACGAAGUCAGGGGAAACCCUGAUGGAGGUCCGUAGCGAUUCUGACGUGCAAAUCGAUCGUCGGAGCUGGGUAUAGGGGCGAAAGGGAAUCCGGUU
rnacentral:rRNA from 1 species